UUUUUUUUUUUUUUUUUUUUUUAACAUCCUCUUUAUGUCCUGAGAGCCAUGUGCAGAUGAGGAAAAAUGACAUGCAAUGCAUUUUUGCCUGCCACAAUGACUUUGCAAUCAUAACAAGCAAAAUGUUCUAAACAGUAAGUGAAUCGAGGAAGAUAUACUGCCAAGUCAGGAAGAAAAAAUCCACCUGUUCAGUGAUUUCAGGAACUGCUGAAGAAAAUCACCAGAGCUCAGGAAGCAGAAUGCAACCCAUGCAGAUGUAGGGGCUGGAUUCUCUCUAUGACUGAGUGGGAGUCUCAGCCCCAAGAAAUGCCCCGGGUUGGCCCUGAAAUCCACAAUGGCUUGCUGGGCUGGAGGCCACCAGCUGAUGGGACCCAAGAGAGGAAUGAAUUAUUUAUCUGGACUCCUCACAGAGAACAAUGCCCUGCAAAUGUCCCCCGCACCAUGCUGGGUGGAAUUCAUAGUCAACCUAACAACCAGCUUAGCAUCUUCUCUCCCGGACCUUGCCCCUCCAACCGUAUCGAACUUUGAGGAGCAAUUAGGGAAUUGCUUGACAUCUUCCCUGCGAGCUCUUGGGUCACAAAAGCUAAUUAACCUUCCUCUUGCCUUCCAAACUAAGUAACAACCUCCAGAGCCAAGUCUUCUGGAACAAAACAGGAAGGAAGAAAGAAACUAAGAAAGAAGCACUGUCUCUGAUUUUUUUUUUUUAAUGAAGGUUAACAUAUAAUUUUUAAAAUGAACUCCAUGGAAAGGAGGUUGUGGGGUUCACAACCCCUGGGAGCAGUUCCAGCAGUGCCAGGACGGUCUCAGUGGCAGCCCUCUGCUCAUCUUUGAGGUCUACUUUGCCCAGCAGCUAACUCUUGUAGGUGGAAACAUGGUGGCUUCUUGUUCUCUGGGAAGUUCUGGAUGGGAACUUGAUGUGGGAAGUUGUGAGGUGCCCUGAACUUGGAGGUGGGGCUCAUUGGCACCACAGUGAUGGUCCCAUCUGUGCCAUGUAGACUUGACCAAGCAACUCAAGGUGUCCUUAAUGUCCCAGACUGAGAGAGAAUUUGCCGGCCUCCACCUUGGAAUAUUGUUGACUUUCAGUGCACGACGCAAGUCCUCUCCUUCAACACUCCUCUCUAAGAAGAUACACAGUCAAACACUUAAGGACUUGGGCUUGCGGAGGGUGUAGAUCUGGGCUCAGAUUCCCAUUCUGACACUUACUGGCUACGUGACCUACACUGUGAUUCCCAAAUGCCUGCAUAUCCACAUACCACUGUGUCCCACUGCACUAGCUACCCGGAGCUGCCAUAACACAUUGCCACUAACUAGGUGGCUUAAAACCAGAGGAAUUCAUUCUCUUAUAGUUCUGGGGGUCAGAAAACUUUUUUUUAUUUGUUUGAGAUGGAGAUUCGCUCUUGUUGUCCAGGCUGGAGUGCAACGGCAUGAUCUCGGCUCACCGCAACCUCUGCCUCCUGGGUUCAAGCAAUUCUCUUGCCUCAGCCUCCCGAGUAGCUGGGAUUACAGGCAUGUGCCACCACGCCCAGCUAAUUUUGUAUUUUUAGCAGAGACAGGUUUCUCCAUUUUGGUCAGGCUGGUCUCAAACUCCCGACCUCAGGUGAUCUGCCCCCCCUUGGCCUCCCUAAGUGCUGGGAUUACAGGCGUAAGCCACCACACCUGGCCCUGGGGGUCAUAUAUCUUAAAUCAAGGUAUCAACAGGACCAAGCUCCCCAAAAGCUCCAGGAAAGGAUACUUCUUGGCCUCUCUUCUGGCUUCUGGUGGCUGCAGCAAUCCUUGGGGUUCCUUGGCUUAUGGAUGCAUCACUCCGUACUCUGCUUCCGUCCUCACUUGACCUUCUCACCUACCUUCCUUUACGUCAUCUUCCUUCUGAGAUGCUCUGUGUCCAAAUUUUAUUCUUUGUAAAAGGAUGCCAGUCAUUGGAUCAGAGACCACCUUAAUCCAGGAUGACUUCAUCUUAACUAAAUUACAUCUGCAAAGAUUCUAUUUCUAAAUAAACCCACAUUCUGAGGUUCUGGGUGGGCAUGCUAUUUGGCAGGACAAAGUCAACACAGGACACUCAUUUUCAGGAUUGAUCGCAUGGUUUGAGGAAGCUGAUGGUGACAUCUCUUCUUAAAUCUGUUUUCAGGAAAAUCAUACUGGUAGCCUUCAAGUGGCCAUGGUGGGAGCAUUGACCCAGGGAAAUCCACAUUUCCCAACACAUGCUGGAUACCUGAGGACUCCAGAGCUACUAUCUGCUCAUAUCUGCUCAACAUUAAAAAAAAAAAAAAAACCUCACAUUGUUAAGUGAAAAGGUUUAUUGGCAGAUUUGCUUAACUCAAUUUGCAAAGAUACCUUAGACCAGGGGUCGGCAAACUACAUUCCACAGAACGAAGCUGCCCAUUACUUGUCUUUUGUUUGUUUGUUUGUUUUGUUUUGUUUUGUUUUGAGAUGAAGUCUCGCUCUUGUUGCCCGGGCUGGAGUGCAAUGGUGUGAUCUCAGCUCACUGCAACCUCAACCUCCCUGGUUCAAGCAAUUCCCCUGCCUGAGCCUCCCAAGUAGCUGGGAUUACAGGCACAUGCCACCAUGCCCAACUGAUGUUUUUGUAUUUUUAGUAGAGAUGGGGUUUCACCAUGUUGGCCAGACUGGUCUCGAACUCCUGACCUCAGGUGAUCCACUGCCUCAGCCUCCCAAAGUGCUGGGAUUACAGGCGUGAUCCUAAGUACAGUUUUAUAGGACAACCAUGCUCAUUCAUUUCCGUAUCGUCCACGGCUGCUCUACAGCAGCAGAGUUUAGUGGUCAGGACAGAACCGGCACAACCUGCACAACCUGCACAACUUUCAAAGGCUGAAUAUUUACUCUCCGGCUCUUUAGAGAAAGUUUGCAACUCCUACUUUAGACUGAUGCUUCUCCAAUGCUAACGCGCCAGUCACCAAAUCACCGGCAUCUGGUCCCAGCCUCCAACCAUAAACCACAGCUGAAUGGAAACUUGGUAGCGCUUGCCUUCAAUAGCAGAUGCUGUAAGAGGAAAGCAAGGUGACCAAGAAAACAUUGCAAAACUCUGGGCAGAAUCUGGGGCCUGAAGACUCUGAGUCAGAGGCCUCUUUUUUUGCUCUAAACACAUAUUAGCAAGAGUCCAAGAGGCAUCAAAGAUGAGUUAGCAGCAAAAUGAGGCUUUGUCCUUCAUGUAGAAAGGAUUAAAUGAUAGUUGAAAAUGCAAUAACUUUCACCCUGUGGGAUUCAGUGAUGUUCAGUGCUGUGAUUAUGUCCAACUUCAAAUCUUGCUGUCCCAACUGGGACAGCCCAAACAUAGGGAGCCACUGCACUAAGAUGUUAUGAUUUAUUAAGAUAAUAAAGCUAGCGGGAUGACAAAUGUUUCAUUUUUCCCCCAUGUGUUUCCCCCAAAGGACCGUCUGCUUUUGCAUGUGAUUUGACUAUGCGCUGAGGACCUAGCGUGGUAUAUCAGCAAAGUGGAAAAGUGACUGAAGUGACUGUUUAUCAUCUUGUACCAAGUUACACCACUUUAAGCUUUAACUCCACAGCUCUUGCAUUAUUUUAAAACCGUCUGGCAGAUCUCUAAAACUAAUGGUACAAACCACUCUGUGAUACAUUAAAAUACAUCCCACUCUGUCAUACUGC
ensembl:lncRNA MIR646HG MIR646 host gene